UCCUUUUUUAUUAGGAAGUGACGGGCGAUAUGUGCAUAUUUCGUCCCAACUUCAGAUUCAAUUUUUAUUUUGAAUAUUAAUAUCAAGUUCUAUUUAAUAUUUUUAUAAUUUAAAUUUUUUUUUAUUUAAUGUGUUUCAUAAAGCUCUUAUUUAUUAUUUCUGUCUUGAUUUGUCUUGUUUCUAGGAUAGAUUUUAAAAAAAAGAUUCUAAUAUUUGCUUAGACAAUGAUAUGGAAAAUAAAAAAUUAAGUACAUUUAAUCGUGGGUUAUCGAUUAAGCUACAAAACUCCCUGGUUUGUCGAAAUACCGCCAUCUUAUUUAGAUUUUUUUUAUUUAAAUACUCUCUUUUGUUAUUUAAAA
rnacentral:rRNA from 1 species